rnacentral:rRNA from 1 species
AUGAACGCUGGCGGCAGGCUUAACACAUGCAAGUCGAGCGGGCCCUUCGGGGUCAGCGGCAGACGGGUGAGUCACACGUGGGAACGUACCUUUUGGUUCGGAACAACUCCGGGAAACUGGAGCUAAUACCGGAUAAGCCCUUAGGGGGAAAGAUUUAUCGCCAAAAGAUCGGCCCGCGUCUGAUUAGCUAGUUGGUGGGGUAACGGCCCACCAAGGCGACGAUCAGUAGCUGGUCUGAGAGGAUGAUCAGCCACACUGGGACUGAGACACGGCCCAGACUCCUACGGGAGGCAGCAGUGGGGAAUAUUGGACAAUGGGCGCAAGCCUGAUCCAGCCAUGCCGCGUGAGUGAUGAAGGCCUUAGGGUUGUAAAGCUCUUUUGUCCGGGAAGAUAAUGACUGUACCGGAAGAAUAAGCCCCGGCUAACUUCGUG